CCUACGGGCGGCAGCAGUAGGGAAUCUUUCACAAUGGGCGAAAGCCUGAUGGAGCAACGCCGCGUGCAGGAUGAAGGCCUUCGGGUUGUAAACUGCUUUUAUAAGCGAGAAAUAUGAUGGUAACUUAUGAAUAAGGAUCGGCUAACUACGUGCCAGCAGCGGCGGUCAUACGUAGGAUCCGAGCAUUAUCCGGAGUGACUGGGUGUAAAGAGUUGCGUAGGUGGGAUAGUAAGUGGCUGGUGAAAUAUGGUGGCUCAACCAUUCAGACUAUUAGCUAAACUGCUAAGCUCGAGACCGUUAGAGGUAACUGGAAUUUCUAGUGUAGGGGUGAAAUGCGUAGAUAUUAGAAGGAACACCGAUAGCGUAGGCAGGUUACUGGGACGGUACUGACACUAAGGCACGAAAGCGUAGGUAGCAAACGGGAUUAGAUACCCCGGUAGUC
rnacentral:rRNA from 1 species